GACACGGUCCAAACUCCUACGGGAGGCAGCAGUGAGGAAUAUUGGUCAAUGGACGAGAGUCUGAACCAGCCAAGUAGCGUGCAGGAUGACGGCCCUCUGGGUUGUAAACUGCUUUUAGUUGGGAACAAAAAAGGCGACGUGUCGCCUCUAGAGUGUACCAUCAGAAAAAGGACCGGCUAAUUCCGUGCCAGCAGCCGCGGUAAUACGGAAGGUCCAGGCGUUAUCCGGAUUUAUUGGGUUUAAAGGGAGCGUAGGCGGACGAUUAAGUCAGCUGUGAAAGUUUGCGGCUCAACCGUAAAAUUGCAGUUGAAACUGGUUGUCUUGAGUGCACGCAGGGAUGUUGGAAUUCAUGGUGUAGCGGUGAAAUGCUUAGAUAUCAUGAAGAACUCCGAUCGCGAAGGCAUAUGUCUGGAGUGCAACUGACGCUGAGGCUCGAAAGUGCGGGUAUCGAACAGGAUUAGAUACCCUGGUAGUCCGCACAGUAAACGAUGAACGGUGAAACUCAAAGGAAUUGACGGGGGCCCGCACAAGCGGAGGAACAUGUGGUUUAAUUCGAUGAUACGCGAGGAACCUUACCCGGGCUUGAACUAAGCAGGAAGAUGGGCAGAGACGCCCGUUGUCUUCGGACCUGCUUGGAGGUGCUGCAUGGUUGUCGUCAGCUCGUGCCGUGAGGUGUCGGCUUAAGUGCCAUAACGAGCGCAACCCUUCUCCACGUUUGCCAUCAGUUUAAGCUGGGCACUCCGUGGAUACUGCCAUCGUAAGAUGUGAGGAAGGUGGGGAUGACGUCAAAUCAGCACGGCCCUUACGUCCGGGGCUACACACGUGUUACAAUGGCCGGUACAGAGGGAAGCCACCAGGCGACUGGGCGCUGAUCCAUGAAAACCGGUCUCAGUUCGGACUGGAGUCUGCAACCCGACUCCACGAAGCUGGAUUCGCUAGUAAUCGCGCAUCAGCCAUGGCGCGGUGAAUACGUUCCCGGGCCUUGUACACACCGCCCGUCAAGCCAUGAAAGCCG
rnacentral:rRNA from 1 species